CAACGGAUCUCUUGGUUCUGGCAUCGAUGAAGAACGCAGCAAAAUGCGAUAAGUAAUGUGAAUUGCAGAAUUUAGUGAAUCAUCGAAUCUUUGAACGCACAUUGCGCCCGCCAGUAUUCUGGCGGGCAUGCCUGUUCGAGCGUCAUUUCAACCCUCA
rnacentral:rRNA from 1 species